rnacentral:rRNA from 1 species
CUGGUUGAUCCUGCCAGAGGCUACUGCUAUCGGGGUCCGACUAAGCCAUGCGAGUUGAGAGGGGUAAGCCCUCGGCAUAUUGCUCAGUAACACGCGGAUAACCUGCCCUUGGGUUUGGGAUAACCCCGGGAAACUGGGACUAAUACCGGAUAGAUCAAAGAUACUGGAAUGUUCUUUGGUCGAAAGCUCCGGCGCCCAAGGAUGGGUCUGCGGCCUAUCAGGUAGUAGUGGGUGUAACGUACCUACUAGCCUACGACGGGUAAGGGUUGUGAGAGCAAGAGCCCUGAGAUGGAUUCUGAGACAUGAAUCCAGGCCCUACGGGGUGCAGCAGGCGCGAAAACUUUACACUGCGGGAAACCGCGAUAAGGGGACCCCGAGUGCCAGCACCUAGUGCUGGCUGUCCAGCUGUUCAAAAAACAGUUGUUAGCAAGGGCCGGGCAAGACCGGUGCCAGCCGCCGCGGUAACACCGGCGGCCCGAGUGGUAGCCGUUAUUAUUGGGUUUAAAGGGUCCGUAGCCGGCCUAUUAAGUCUCUUGGGAAAUCUGGCGACUCAAUCGUCAGGCGUUCAAGAGAUACUGGUAGGCUUGGGACCGGGAGAGGUGGGAGGUACUCCAGGGGUAGGGGUGAAAUCUCGUAAUCCUUGGGGGACCACCGAUGGCGAAGGCAUCCCACCAGAACGGGUCCGACGGUGAGGGACGAAAGCUGGGGGCACGAACCGGAUUAGAUACCCGGGUAGUCCCAGCCGUAAACGAUGCUCGCUAGGUGUCAGGUGCGGUGCGACCGCAUCUGGUGCCGCAGUGAAAACUUGAAGCGAGUCACCUGGGAAGUACGGUCGCAAGGCUGAAACUUAAAGGAAUUGGCGGGGGAGCACUACAACGGGUGGAGCCUGCGGUUCAAUUGGAUUCAACGCCGGA